GAUGAACGCUAGCGGGAGGCCUAAUACAUGCAAGUCGAGCGGUAGAGUGACUUCGGUUGCUUGAGAGCGGCGAACGGGUGAGUAACGCGUACACAAUCUACCUUUAAGAGGGGAAUAGCCCUGGGAAACUGGGAUUAAUGCCCCAUGGCAUCACGAGACGGCAUCGUUUUGUGAUUAAAGCUGAGGUGCUUAGAGAUGAGUGUGCGUCUGAUUAGCUAGUUGGUGCGGUAACGGCGCACCAAGGCGACGAUCAGUAGGGGGCGUGAGAGCGUGGACCCCCACACGGGUACUGAGACACGGACCCGACUCCUACGGGAGGCAGCAGUAAGGAAUAUUGGUCAAUGGAGGAAACUCUGAACCAGCCAUCCCGCGUGCAGGAAGAAUGCCCUAUGGGUUGUAAACUGCUUUUAUCUGGGAAGAAAAGUCGGGAUUUAUGCUGAUCUGACGGUACCAGAGGAAUAAGCACGGCUAACUCCGUGCCAGCAGCCGACGG
rnacentral:rRNA from 1 species